rnacentral:rRNA from 1 species
CGUGGAGCUUAACUCCAUCAUGGCAGUGGAAACUGAAAGGCUUGAGUAUGGUAGGGGCAGAGGGAAUUCCCGGUGUAGCGGUGAAAUGCGUAGAUAUCGGGAAGAACACCAGUGGCGAAGGCGCUCUGCUGGGCCAUUACUGACGCUCAUGGACGAAAGCCAGGGGAGCGAAAGGGAUUAGAUACCCCUGUAGUCCUGGCCGUAAACGAUGAACACUAGGUGUCGGGGGAAUCGACCCCUUCGGUGUCGUAGCUAACGCGUUAAGUGUUCCGCCUGGGGAGUACGCACGCAAGUGUGAAACUCAAAGGAAUUGACGGGGGCCCGCACAAGCGGUGGAGUAUGUGGUUUAAUUCGAUGCAACGCGAAGAACCUUACCAGGGUUUGACAUCCUGCGAACCUCUUAGAAAUUUGAGGGUGCCUUCGGGAAUGCAGUGACAGGUGGUGCAUGGCUGUCGUCAGCUCGUGUCGUGAGAUGUUGGGUUAAGUCCCGCAACGAGCGCAACCCACGUUUUUAGUUGCCAGCAUUUAGUUGGGCACUCUAGAAAGACCGCCGGUGAUAAACCGGAGGAAGGUGUGGAUGACGUCAAGUCAUCAUGCCCCUUACACCCUGGGCUACACACGUACUACAAUGCUACGGACAAAGGGCAGCAAACUCGCGAGAGCUAGCAAAUCCCAUAAACCGUGGCUCAGUUCAGAUCGUAGGCUGCAACUCGCCUACGUGAAGUAGGAAUCGCUAGUAAUCGCAGGUCAGCAUACUGCGGUGAAUACGUUCCCGGGCCUUGUACACACCGCCCGUCACACCAUGGAAGUUGGCCAUGCCCGAAGUCGUUACUCCAACCCUUGUGGAGGAGGACGCCGAAGGUGGGGCUAAUGACUGGGGUGAAGUCAUAACAAGGUAGCCGUA